CGGGGGGCAGCAGUGGGGAAUAUUGGACAAUGGGCGCAAGCCUGAUCCAGCCAUGCCGCGUGAGUGAUGAAGGCCUUAGGGUUGUAAAGCUCUUUUAUCCGGGACGAUAAUGACGGUACCGGAGGAAUAAGCCCCGGCUAACUUCGUGCCAGCAGCCGCGGUAAUACGAAGGGGGCUAGCGUUGCUCGGAAUCACUGGGCGUAAAGGGCGCGUAGGCGGCGUUUUAAGUCGGGGGUGAAAGCCUGUGGCUCAACCACAGAAUGGCCUUCGAUACUGGGACGCUUGAGUAUGGUAGAGGUUGGUGGAACUGCGAGUGUAGAGGUGAAAUUCGUAGAUAUUCGCAAGAACACCGGUGGCGAAGGCGGCCAACUGGACCAUUACUGACGCUGAGGCGCGAAAGCGUGGGGAGCAAACAGGAUUAGAUACCCGAGU
rnacentral:rRNA from 1 species